ACAGAGGGUGCUAGCGUUGUUCGGAAUCAUUGGGCGUAAAGGGCGCGUAGGCGGCCUUGCGUGUCUUCCGUGAAAUCCCUCGGCUUAACUGAGGACGUGCGGAAGAAACUGCAGGGCUCGAGUCCGGGAGAGGGGGGUGGAAUUCCCAGUGUAGCGGUGAAAUGCGUAGAUAUUGGGAGGAACACCGGUGGCGAAGGCGGCCCCCUGGACCGGUACUGACGCUGAGGCGCGAAAGCGUGGGGAGCAAACGGGA
rnacentral:rRNA from 1 species